GGACCAGGCAGAGCCACGACUCCUAAGAUGCACUUGGGCAAUGACGUAACGUGGCGUCGCCAGGGCCUAACUACCCGAGCGGUUCCAUGGUAACAGAUGGUGAGGAGAGUGAUUGGGAGCUGCAGUCAUUUUGCUGCUACCUCAGACUGCUGUAGUCCGAAGGAGAAAGAGUGAGGAUAUAUAUCCUUAUCUUUGUAUAUUCCUAUAUUGGCUCUGACAGGAUGCAUUAAAGUGACUGACGCUGGGGGGGGAAAUUGGGAACAAAGAUUGGCUGUUGACUAAUGUUUCUGUUGUCGAAAGUCCUACAGGAAUCCUUCUGGGCUCAAAGGGCAAAAGGAUUGAAGGUGGUGGUUUACCUGCCCUGAGGCAAUCCAUGGGUGAGUGUGUGAAUGUGUGUGAGGGGUGAUUAGUGGUGAUGCACCAUCUGAAGGUAGUGAUAGUUGGACUAAUUUUAAUAAUAUUGCAAUAUAAUAUAUUUUAUAAUGUACAAUUUGCAAAAUGCUUCAUAUGUGUGCUUUACCCUCACAACAACCCCGGGAUAGGUAAUUAUUCCUAAAAUACAGAUGAAGAAACUGAGGCCUACUGACUUGUCCAAGUUAAUCUAACUACUCUUAAGUGGCAGAGGAAUUCAAACCCAGGUCUCCAAAUCUGGAUCUCCAAACCCCAAGUUCUCUGUUUUGUCCCCUACUUCAACUCCAACUGGAUCAAUGUGUUGAAUAGAGAGUUCAGGACUAAGCUUAAAAAGUAGGGUUCCAAAAGAGGAUGAUAGAGGAUGACAGAAAAGAAGUAACAGAGUCAGUGAAGGCCAGUAUUAGAAACUGAAAAUAAGA